CCUACGGGAGGCAGCAGUGGGGAAUCUUGCGCAAUGGGCGAAAGCCUGACGCAGCCAUGCCGCGUGAAUGAUGAAGGUCUUAGGAUUGUAAAAUUCUUUCACCGGGGACGAUAAUGACGGUACCCGGAGAAGAAGCCCCGGCUAACUUCGUGCCAGCAGCCGCGGUAAUACGAAGGGGGCUAGCGUUGCUCGGAAUUACUGGGCGUAAAGGGAGCGUAGGCGGAUAGUUUAGUCAGAGGUGAAAGCCCAGGGCUCAACCUUGGAAUUGCCUUUGAUACUGGCUAUCUUGAGUACGGAAGAGGUAUGUGGAACUCCGAGUGUAGAGGUGAAAUUCGUAGAUAUUCGGAAGAACACCAGUGGCGAAGGCGACAUACUGGUCCGUUACUGACGCUGAGGCUCGAAAGCGUGGGGAGCAAACAGGAUUAGAUACCCUGGUAGUCCACGCUGUAAACGAUGAGUGCUAGUUGUCGGCAGCAUGCUGUCGGUGACGCAGCUACGACAUAAGACACUCCGCCGUGGGAGGUACGGUCGCGAGAAUUAAACUACAAUAGAAGUUAGACGGCGNGAGACGUGCCGAACGGACGACGACGAGGGAGGUAGG
rnacentral:rRNA from 1 species